rnacentral:tRNA from 1 species
UGCACUAGUAGCUCAGCAUCAGAGCGCCGACCUUGUAAGCCGGACGUCGAAGGUUAAAAUCCUUCCUUCUGCU